rnacentral:rRNA from 1 species
AACGCUAAAAGAUGGCUUCUCGCUAUCACUUCUGGAUGGACCUGCGGUGCAUAGCUUGUUGGUGGGGUAAYGGCCUACCAAGGCGAUGAUGCAUAGCCRAGUUGAGAGACUGAUCGGCCACAAUGGGACUGAGACACGGCCCAUACUCCUACGGGAGGCAGCAGUAGGGAAUCUUCCACAAUGGGCGCAAGCCUGAUGGAGCAACACCGCGUGAGUGAAGAAGGGUUUCGGCUCGUAAAGCUCUGUUGUUAAAGAAGAACACGUAUGAGAGUAACUGUUCAUACGUUGACGGUAUUUAACCAGAAAGUCACGGCUAACUACGUGCCAGCAGCCGCGGUAAUACGUAGGUGGCAAGCGUUAUCCGGAUUUAUUGGGCGUAAAGAGAGUGCAGGCGGUUUUCUAAGUCUGAUGUGAAAGCCUUCGGCUUAACCGGAGAAGUGCAUCGGAAACUGGAUAACUUGAGUGCAGAAGAGGGUAGUGGAACUCCAUGUGUAGCGGUGGAAUGCGUAGAUAUAUGGAAGAACACCAGUGGCGAAGGCGGCUACCUGGUCUGCAACUGACGCUGAGACUCGAAAGCAUGGGUAGCGAACAGGAUUAGAUACCCUGGUAGUCCAUGCCGUAAACGAUGAGUGCUAGGUGUUGGAGGGUUUCCGCCCUUCAGUGCCGGAGCUAACGCAUUAAGCACUCCGCCUGGGGAGUACGACCGCAAGGUUGAAACUCAAAGGAAUUGACGGGGGCCCGCACAAGCGGUGGAGCAUGUGGUUUAAUUCGAAGCUACGCGAAGAACCUUACCAGGUCUUGACAUCUUGCGCCAACCCUAGAGAUAGGGCGUUUCCUUCGGGAACGCAAUGACAGGUGGUGCAUGGUCGUCGUCAGCUCGUGUCGUGAGAUGUUGGGUUAAGUCCCGCAACGAGCGCAACCCUUGUUACUAGUUG